GAUGAACGCUGGCGGCGUGCCUAAUACAUGCAAGUCGAGCGAACGGACGAGAAGCUUGCUUCUCUGAUGUUAGCGGCGGACGGGUGAGUAACACGUGUAUAACCUACCUAUAAGACUGGGAUAACUUCGGGAAACCGGAGCUAAUACCGGAUAAUAUUUUGAACCGCAUGGUGCAAAAGUGAAAGACGGUCUUGCUGUCACUUAUAGAUGGAUCCGCGCUGCAUUAGCUAGUUGGUAAGGUAACGGCUUACCAAGGCAACGAUGCAUAGCCGACCUAAGAGGGUGAUCGGCCACACUGGAACUGAGACACGGUCCAGACUCCUACGGGAGGCAGCAGUAGGGAAUCUUCCGCAAUGGGCGAAAGCCUGACGGAGCAACGCCGCGUGAGUGAUGAAGGUCUUCGGAGCGUAAAACUCUGUUAUUAGGGAAGAACAUAUGUGUAAGUAACUGUGCACAUCUUGACGGUACCUAAUAAGAAAGCAACGGCUAACUACGUG
rnacentral:rRNA from 1 species